AGACACCGAAUCACCCCGCUGCAGACAGGCAGCCACCUGGUUCCACACUACAAAGACGCAGGGGACACCAGAUCACCAGACCACGGUACUGAAUCCUGCUGCUCCCGGCCCAGAGAUGAGGAGCGAGGAGUUAAAGAAAUGUCGUGACUACUAUAGCUCAAAGUCCCCAACCUGACAAAAACCAGGUUCCCAGGCCUCUGGUCCUUUUAUAUCCAACAGUCAACUCCUGCAUUUGAAGGAAGGACCUUUGUGGUGGGAUUCAGGGUCCAGGGCUGGAGUUCCCAGAAGAGUUUUACUAGAGUGUGGAUUUCUACAUGAGUUGGAAAGGCCCUUGGGAGCUUCCAACCAUAACAAGAGCACAGUAAGAGAGAUACGAAGUUCAAGUCCCAAG
ensembl:lncRNA